UCUCCUGUAGCUCAAUGGUAGAGCGUCCGACCGGUGUACGGAUGGUGAUAGGUUCGAGUCCUGUUUGGAGAA
rnacentral:tRNA from 1 species